GACGAACCGUCCAAACGUUAUUCGGAAUCACUGGGCUUACAGAGUUCGUAGGCGGUCUGGAAAGUUGGGUGUGAAAGCCCUCGGCUCAACCGAGGAAUUGCGCUCUAAACUGUCGUGCUCGAGGAAUCUAGAGGUGAGCGGAACUGAUGGUGGAGCGGUGAAAUGCGUUGAUAUCAUCAGGAACACCGGAGGCGAAGGCGGCUCACUGGGGAUUUUCUGACGCUGAGGAACGAAAGCCAGGGGAGCGAACGGG
rnacentral:rRNA from 1 species